rnacentral:tRNA from 1 species
UUCACUGCAGUCCAGUGGUUAGGACUUCACACUUUCACUGCCAAGGGCCCAGGUUCAACCCCUGGUGGAGGAA